GGGCAGUGAUGCUUCGGCAUAUCAGCCC
rnacentral:misc_RNA from 1 species